rnacentral:rRNA from 1 species
AAUCAACGCUGGCGGCGUGCCUAACACAUGCAAGUCGAACGCGAAAGGGGCUUCGGCCCUGAGUAGAGUGGCGUCCGGGUGAGUAACGCGUGGGUAAUCUACCCUCGGGUGGGGAAUAACCAAUCGAAAGAUUCGCUAAUACCGCAUAAUGCAGCGGCACCUAAUGGUGAAUAGUUGUUAAAGCGGGGGAUCGCAAGACCUCGCGCCUGAAGAGGAGCCUGCGGCGGAUUAGCUAGUUGGUAAGGUAAUGGCUUACCAAGGCGACGAUCCGUAACCGGCCUGAGAGGGCGGUCGGUCACACUGACACUGACAUACGGGUCAGGCUCCUACGGGAGGCAGCAGUCGGGAAUUUUGGGCAAUGGGCGAAAGCCUGACCCAGCAAC